UUUGAUCGAGCCGAGAUACAGCGGUCGUUCGGGCUCGCGCUCCUGUCCGUAGGUCGCCAGAAGCGCUUGCGCCUC
rnacentral:antisense_RNA from 1 species